GCUCCCAUGGCGUAGUGGUCACUGCACUCGCCUUGCACGCGGGAGACCCGGGUUCGAUUCCCGGCGGGGUCU
rfam:Asian citrus Psyllid, Diaphorina citri - Florida Strain, whole genome shotgun sequence.